AGCAUGCAGCAGGUUUGUACACAGAGAAGGGAGUGCAGAGUGCAUCAAGAAGGAGGCGGGGCGCUUCUGUACUCCUAGCCUUCUGAGAGAGAGAGAGCAGGGAGGAGGAGGAGGAGUUCGUGUGAGCAAAUAUGAAGUGCGCAAUGUUCCAAAACGGGGGACCUCCCUUUGCAACCCCCAAUUAAUCUCUCCCAGGCGGCACGCGGGGGUCCGGGCUCCCCCAGUGUGCUGUAGCAUGGCAUGCAUAGAAUCGCCACUCACUUCCCACCCAUAGCUGGAGAAGGGUUGGGUGCCAUGGGGAGAUGGUGUGUUUUUUUUCUAAUUCAUGGAACAGGAGGAGGUGGGCGUGCGGGUGCCCCCCUUGCACCACCUCAGGCAGAUUGGGGAGCCGAGGCGGGAUGAUGGGAUUAUCCGUGGGUGCUUUUUUCCAGCGGAGCUGCGUGUGGCCGUUGCACAACUGGAUGAGUUAUAAGCGGGAACGUUGGAGAAAUAUGGAGAUUGGUCCACUUCAAGUAAUCCUGCAGUCCUCAGGUUGAUGGAUGCUGAAAAGCUGUAGUGCUGUUACUAAAAUACAUGUUGACACCUGAAGACCUCUGUGAUGGCUGCUGAAUCUUUAGGAAGAGCUGGAUAGCCCAUGUCAUCAAGCUGUUAUCGACUCCUGAAAUACAAAGAUAUCAAGACAUCUGACUCACUAUGGCCCAUGCUACAGCUGUUUGAGAAAGUGGAUGUAUGCACACUAAAUGAUCAUGCAAAGGUGAUAUAAAGAAGUUAAAUACAAUGGAGCCCAAAACCCAUCAGUGGGGGGCAUGGGUAAUGAAUACUUCAUUUCCUGUUUUCACACUCCUGACCAUCCUUAGCUGUACUCUUUCUUCAAGCCAGUGUUUAAUCCUUCUGAUGGCCAAUGUGUUGGUAUUAUUCUUAAUUAAAGAAUCCAGUAUGCAGUUAUGCAGAAUACAGUCAGUGGUCUUGGACAAAUUCAACAUAACAUCAUCUGCUGGCGGACAUUCAUUAAGUCCAUUAAUCACAUUUCCAUGGAAAGCUACUACACUGGAUGCCUUUGAUUUCCUGUUGAUGAAACCAUGUUGGUUAAUGUGUUUCAAACACAGGAAAGUCAGCUGUUGACAGCCUACAUGUUACUCUGCUCUUCCCAGAAUAUACAACAACUGCAUCAUCAGUUUCAGGCCUACCAUGGUUUACAAGUUCCUAGAAGAUAACAGAGAAACAUUGCAGAUAGCAAAUUUACAGGGAAGUGGUCACAUCAGUAUGUUCCAUGCAAAGACAAGGUAGAAGAAGAUCCAGUUCAGCUAUGUGUACACAGCCUGUUCUCAGCCCUGGAACCAUAGGUUGACUGGAGAAGUACCGCAUCAGCUAAAAGUGGAGAUUUUCAGUAGCAUUUUGGUUUCUCAAUCCGUUGUGGAUUUGUUCUGUCCUGUCAUUUUGUCACAUUUUGUUACUUUGUUGCAUGACUGUUUCCUGUCCAUGUCUGGCUAUUGCUUCACUAGAUUGGGGAUGUUGUACUUUACUGUUGCAGCCGUGUCUAGCUUGUUUGGCACAGUGGAUCCCUUGGCUUUGUUUAAUUUGUUACCUUUCUUAGCACUGUUAUAGAACUGUCUUUAAGUAGUUCAGUGGUUUGGAGACCAUAAUUACCACUUAAAAGUGUAUUGUCACAAAUCUCAUGCAUGUGUCUUAAACAGUUCAUUUCUGGAUAUACUGCUGAUGUUAAAAGUUGUAGGUGGUUUGAAAAUAAAAC